UACGUAGGGACCGAGCGUUGUCCGGAAUCAUUGGGCGUAAAGAGCGUGUAGGCGGCCAACUAAGUCCUGCGUGAAAUCUCGGGGCUCAACCCCGAGCGGUCGUGGGAAACUGGUUGGCUAGAGUGCGGGAGAGGAGAGUGGAAUUCCUGGUGUAGCGGUGAAAUGCGCAGAUAUCAGGAGGAACACCGGCGGCGAAGGCGGCACUCUGGGCCGGUACUGACGCUGAGGAGCGAAAGCGUGGGUAGCAAACAGG
rnacentral:rRNA from 1 species